rnacentral:lncRNA from 1 species
CCGACCGCCGUGCGCCCUGGCGUGCGCGUGGGAGGGAGAGCCGCAGCCGUCGCUGGCGCCGCCCCGCCGCUGUCCGCUUCUCCUCAGCCUAGCGCUCAGCCGCGGCCGGAUCCUCUUUUAUUGCCAGUUCAGGGAAUCCAAGUGGGAAAUGAACUCAGGGACUGGCGUUUAUCAGGCAGAUGCUGCACCACUGAGCUAUAUUCCCGGCCCUUGAGAGGUGAUUUUUGAAGACCAGGUACUCCCUUAUCUUAGCAUUGAGCACAGCAGAUGUACAGAGUUGAGAGGAGAUGCUACACUUAUAGGCUGUUCACUGUCAUUAGGGUGUGUAUUCGUAGUAGAAGGAGAAUAUGUACAGUAUAAUGGAAAGAGAAGCAGGGCUUGAGUUUUGUGCACAUUGGUAUCCGUGGUCUAUAGCAGAGAUCGGCACACUGCAGGUCGUGGGGCAAAUCUCUUGUAAAUAUGUUUUUAUUGGAACAGAACCACACUGAAUUGUGUGUAUGUAUGUUAUAUACAGUUGCUUUUGUGCUACAGUGGUAAAACUGAAUGGUUGCAAAAGAGACCAUGUAGUGCAAAGAACUCAAAAUAAUUAUCUGGCCAUUUACGGAAGAAAUUUGCUGACCUCUAGCCUGUAGGAGUAUUCUGGUAGAAGGGUCCAGUGUACAGGUAUACUUAUACUAUUCAGUUUAAAAAAGAGGUGUGGGCUAGAAGUUAAAAUUUGGUAAUCCUCAGCAGAGAAAUAGUGGCUGCAGCUGUGGAGAUGAGAGAGGUUCUUCAGAAAUAGUAUAGAGCAGUGAUGGUGAACCUAUGACAUGCAUGCUUUAGCCAGUUGUUUGUUAUCAUUGAAAGCUCUAAAAGGUUUGCCAUCACUGGUAUGGAGAGAAGAGAAAAGGAUGCCCACAGAGCAUUUGCCAGGGACGGGUGUUGGGAGGAGAGGGAGAAACAAACCAUAGUCUGAUGGACUUUUGGCAUUCUUGGAUGCUGGUGCAGAGUUUUCUUUAGAUGUUUACCAUGAAAUUGCUGUCAUUUAUACAGUCUUCAGAGCCAUGUAGUAUGGCAAGUUUGUUUCAAUGAAAUUUUAAAACCACACAUAUUCUUGAGUUUAAAGAUACUACUUAGUAAAUUACAAAAGAGGAGGUUUUCCAAAACAACAGGACUGUUGGGUUGUGAAGUUAAAAGAAUAAAACUUUUCUUUUGCUGCUUUUCAUCUAAAAUUUCCUUACUGGGCUUUUAUUUUUGCCUUUAAAAUAAUGCCAGGUACUUUUUGUCAGGUGAGUUCUUUUAUGGUCACCAUGAGAUUAUGUCUUAGCUUUGUACGUGCUACACAAGCACCGAACCAUACCCCCCAGAUCUCACAAGUAGAAUUUUAAAAGAUGCUUUAAAAGAUCUUUCAGUGAGCAUACACAUAUCUUUUUGAGAACCUAAAGCAGAAAUAUAAGUAUAUAGAUUGUGUAUAAAAAUCAUUUCUGAGAAGAAUAGAG